AGUGGAAUUUGAUGCCUAAAAAUGAGAAAAUGCUUCUAUUUCACCAGUCAGAGUUAUUCGAUGUAUAAUUCAUAAUACGGUGUAAUAUGGACAUUAUUAGUUUACUACUAUUAUAGGUCUUCACGAAUUUUGGAGGUAUUCGGGCCUCUGGAUGCUUGAGAUAUUGUUUUAUUUAUUGCUAGGUAAUAGAACGGUAAAUCAACUACAAAUUUUAGAAAACAAACCAAUUCAUAUUACCAGCAGCCGUAGCCGAGAGCAUAUUUCUUUUGAGUGAAAGCACUGGAUAAUUUUUCAUCUGAAGAAUCUUCGUUUAGCGGAAGUUCUACAAUAAACACCCAUUCAAAGGAGUUUGUCAGAGAAUGAAAUGAAAAUAAUAUAAAAUGUU